rnacentral:rRNA from 1 species
CCAGCACCCCGAGUGGUCGGGACGAUUAUUGGGCCUAAAGCAUCCGUAGCCGGUUUUACAAGUCCUCCGUUAAAUCCAACUGCUUAACAGAUGGGCCGCGGAGGAUACUAUAAGACUAGGAGGCAGGAGAGGCAAGCGGUACUCAGUGGGUAGGGGUAAAAUCCGUUGAUCCAUUGAAGACCACCAGUGGCGAAGGCGGCUGGCCAGAAUGCGCUCGACGGUGAGGGAUGAAAGCUGGGGGAGCAAACCGGAUUAGAUACCCGGGUAGUCCCAGCCGUAAACGAUGCAGACUCGGUGAUGGACCAGCUUCAUGCUAGUCCAGUGCCGCAGGGAAGCCGUUAAGUCAGCCGCCUGGGUAGUACGGUCGCAAGACUG